rnacentral:rRNA from 1 species
CCUACGGGAGGCAGCAGUGGGGAAUAUUGCGCAAUGGGCGAAACCCUGACCCACCCACGCCGCGUGAGCGAUGAAGGCCUUCGGGUCGUAAAGCUCUGUGGGGAGAGACGAAGAAAGCCCGUGAAGAGCGGGCCUUGACGGUAUCUCCUUAGCAAGCACCGGCUAACUCCGUGCCAGCAGCCGCGGUAAUACGGAGGGUGCAAACGUUGCUCGGAAUCAUUGGGCGUAAAGCGCACGUAGGCGGCGAAGCAAGUUGGGUGUGAAAGCCCUGGGCUCAACCCAGGAAGUGCAUUCAAAACUGCUUUGCUUGAAUCUCGGAGGGGGUCAGAGAAUUCCCGGUGUAGAGGUGAAAUUCGUAGAUAUCGGGAGGAAUACCAGUGGCGAAGGCGCUGACCUGGACGAAGAUUGACGCUGAGGUGCGAAAGCGCGGGGAGCAAACAGGAUUAGAUACCCUGGUAGUCCGCGCUGUAAACGAUGAGUGCUAGACGGUGGAGGUAUUGACCCCUUCGCUGCCGAAGCUAACGCGUUAAGCACUCCGCCUGGGGAGUACGGUCGCAAGACUAAAACUCAAAUGAAUUGACGG